rnacentral:rRNA from 1 species
GAGUAACACGUGGGUGAUCUGCCCUGCACUUCGGGAUAAGCCUGGGAAACUGGGUCUAAUACCGGAUAUGACCAAGGACUGCAUGGUUUUUGGUGGAAAGGUUUACUGGUGCAGGAUGAGCCCGCGGCCUAUCAGCUUGUUGGUGGGGUAAUGGCCUACCAAGGCGACAACGGGUAGCCGGCCUGAGAGGGCGACCGGCCACACUGGGACUGAGACACGGCCCAAACUCCUACGGGAGGCAGCAGUGGGGAAUAUUGCACAAUGGGCGAAAGCCUGAUGCACCGACGCCGCGUGAGGGAUGACGGCCUUCGGGUUGUAAACCUCUUUCAGCAGGGACGAAGCGCAAGUGACGGUACCUGCAGAAAAAGCACCGGCCAACUACGUGCCAGCAGCCGCGGUAAUACGUAGGGUGCGAGCGUUGUCCGGAAUUACUGGGCGUAAAGAGCUCGUAGGCGGUUUGUCGCGUC